rnacentral:rRNA from 1 species
UACGUAGGCAGCAAGCGUUGUUCGGAGUUACUGGGCGUAAAGGGUGUGUAGGCGGUUGGAUAAGUGUGGUGUGAAAUCUCCCGGCUCAACUGGGAGGGUGCGCUACAAACUGACUGACUAGAGUGUGGGAUGGGAAAGUGGAAUUCCUGGUGUAGCGGUGAAAUGCGUAGAUAUCAGGAGGAACACCGGUGGUGUAGACGGCUUUCUGGACCAUAACUGACGCUGAGACACGAAAGCGUGGGUAGCAAACGGG